AUUGAACGCUGGCGGCAGGCCUAACACAUGCAAGUCGAACGAGUGGCGGACGGGUGAGUAAUGUCUGGGAAACUGCCCUAUGGAGGGGGAUAACUACUGGAAACGGUAGCUAAUACCGCAUACCAUCAGAUGUGCCCAGAUGGGAUUAGCGUGUUGGUGGGGUAACGGCUCACCAAGGCGACGAUCCCUAGCUGGUCUGAGAGGAGGACCAGCCAAACUGGAACUGAGACACGGUCCAGACUACUACGGGAGGCAGCAGUGGGGAAUAUUGCGCAAUGGGCGCAAGUCUGAUGCAGCCAUGCCGCGUGUAUGAAGAAGGCCUUCGGGUUGUAAAGUACUUUCAGCGGGGAGGCGUUACCCGCAGAAGAAGCACCGGCUAACUCCGUGCCAGCAGCCGCGGUAAUUC
rnacentral:rRNA from 1 species